rnacentral:tRNA from 1 species
GCUGGUGUGGCUCAGUGGAUAGAGCGUCAGACUUUGGACUGAAGGGUCUCUGGUUUUAUUCCAGUCAAGGGCA